rnacentral:rRNA from 1 species
UACGUAGGGGGCAAGCGUUGUCCGGAUUUAUUGGGCGUAAAGAGCGUGUAGGCGGCCAGGUAGGUGGGUUGUGAAAACUGGAGGCUCAACCUUCAGACGUCGACCCAAACCCCCUGGCUAGAGUCCGGAAGAGGAGAAUGGAAUUCCUGGUGUAGCGGUGAAAUGCGCAGAUAUCAGGAAGAACACCCGUGGCGAAGGCGGGUUCUCUGGGACGGUACUGACGC